UACGGAGGAUCCGAGCGUUAUCCGGAUUUAUUGGGUUUAAAGGGUGCGCAGGCGGGAGAUUAAGUCGGCGGUGAAAUUUUGCAGCUCAACUGUAAAAGUGCCUUCGAAACUGGUUUCCUUGAGUGUGGAUGAAGUAGGCGGAAUUUGUGGUGUAGCGGUGAAAUGCAUAGAUAUCACGAGGAACUCCGAUUGCGCAGGCAGCUUACUAAACUACUACUGACGCUCAGGCACGAAGGCGUGGGGAUCAAACAGGAUUAGAUACCCCUGUAGU
rnacentral:rRNA from 1 species